AUGUGGAUGUUAUUAGACAUUUCCUGUUUCUCAUUUUUUGCCCUAAUUUCAACGCCUCGCCACGGGCAAACCGUUCGAGAUAUCAAAAAUCCCCUGGCAAUUUUUCAUCCCCAAUGUCUUGAGAUCAUGGGCGAGGCGUUGAAAUUAUGGCGAGAAAUGAGAAACAGGAAAUGUCUAAUAACAUUCACAUACAUUACCUGAGUUUGAUCAAACUUCAUUGGUUUGUUCGAUGUAUGAUGCCGAUCGCAUAUAUGUGACUAUUAGGAGUCAAAGUUACAGCGCCACCAACUGGCAGCAGGAAGUGUGUCAUUUUCAAAAUGCUUUGAAUUCAGCAUCUUAUCUUUACUCGAUUUGCUUCAAACUUCAUCAGAAUAAUGAUAAAACACAGCCGAUGUAAAUCUGUUGUGGGGAUAUUGAUAUCUAACAUAGUGUUGCCAUGGCAAUGCUUCAAACUUGAAUAUUCUUUUCUGGGGAUUUUGAGUUAGAUAACAUGCUCAGAAUUACAUAAAACUCAAAACACAUAUCAGUAUAAAUGAUAGAUAGACAAUGGAAAAAGCUCAUGAAGGGGCGUGGAGGAGCCACUCUAUAGCGCCACCUUUUGUCAAAAGUGAUUGGGUUAGUUUUAGCUACAGACACCAAACUCAGUACAUAAAUUGUUCUUAUCAAGACGGACAACUUUCUAAUUCACAGUCAUCAGCUACGAUGAACAGAAAGUCGGUUAUAUUGAUUUGAAUAUGGAUUUUUUGAAAAAUAUAGCUGUGAAUUAAUGCAUACUGCUCAGAGGAGAAUUACAGUAUACACACCAAACUUUGUCUACAUGAUGCCAAAACAUUGAGGAACUUAAAUUGCGAAUGGAUUUUGGAUAGCUUGAACGGUUUUGCCGUAGUGAUUUAUUGAAAUAACAGUAAAAAAGUAAACAUAAAUUGUCUUAUAUUUCUUAAAGUGCAGCUUCCAAACACUUCAAAAUUUUUAUAUAUAGAGGACAAGUCAUUCUGAGCAAAUAUGCAUAGUUUCACGACUUUACAAUGCUCUAUGGAUAACAGAAAAUUAAAAAACUGUCAGUCAUCUGAUCUCACUCUGAGGCCACUCUCUCUGUGUGAGUGAAGGGAGGGGGAGUCACUCUGAUGACUCUGCCAUUGCCCUUUGAAGAAUGUGUGUGUGUUGAGAGUAUGUGUUGAUGGGGGAGGGGCUUCGUGACAGAGAAAGAGAGAGAGAGAGAGAGAGAGAGAGAGAGAGAGAGAGAGAGAGAGAAAGAGAGACUUAAACAUCUCUUUAAUCACCAGAAAAAAACAACAACAGUAUUUUAAAUUUAUAUUGUUUAUGUUUUUGCUAAUGGUGUUUUUAAAUCAUAGACUGCAUAGUCUUCACUGUUUAAAACUAAAUAUAGAUUAAUUGUUUUUGAUGUUACAAAGGUUAUUUAGGUGGGGUUAUUUUCCAAAAAAUCUGAAAAAAAUCAAAUGUAAAUAACUGCAUAGUCUUCACUGUUUAAAACUAAAUAUAGGUUAAUCAUUUUUGAUGUUACAAAGGUUAUUUAGUAUUUUUAUUUGACAGCAUUAGAUUUAUUAUUAGUUUGCUUUCACUUUAAGAACCAAUCACGGGUUUAAUAUACACAUAUUUCUGAACUGUUAACGUUAAGAAAUAUGCCUAACCGACUGUGUUUACUAGGAUAUUCCCCAAAACGCGCAUUUAGAUGUAAUUAUGUAUUUAUUGAUCCAUGCACAAAAAAGCGGAAGAUUUAGUAUUCGCGCGUGCGGCUGUCUGUGUGCGUGCACGAGCUUCAGAUGUGUGCGUUGAAAACUUCUCACACAGCGCUCGAAUGUUCCGCGAACAAUCCCGAGCGCCUUACAUGCUCACCUUGUGCCUUAUACCGAGUCCUAAUCGGUGAGUUUGAAUGAGAAUGCACCCGCUGACGGACAUUAUGUGAAAAUGUAGACAGUGCCAAAUAAGCUGCCUAUUUAUAUAACAGAUAUCUAUAUUGUACGUGUGCUAUCGAUGCAUCGAUCGAUCCAUAUCGAUGAAUCAAUACACCCCUAAUAUAUCAAAUGUAAAUAACUGCAUAGUCUUCACUGUUUAAAACUAAAUAUAGAUUAAUCGUUUUUGAUGUUACAAAGGUUAUUUAGGUGUUUUUUUUUAGGUGCUAUCGAUGCAUCAAUCCAUAUUGAUGAAUCAAUACACACCUAAUACAGGCUAUAUAUAUAUAUAUAUAUAUAUAUAUAUAUAUAUAUAUAUAUAUAUAUAAAAUUGCAUAGGUUUAUAAUAAUAAUAAUAAUAAUAAUAAUAAUAAUUUCAAACUCAUUUAAAUACUGACCUAUGACAUCCUGUGACAUGACAUGUAUCUGAAUUUACACAAACUCAUGAUGUAACAGUUAAACAGUUCAGCUCACAGAUGAAGACUAAGCUGUAAUGCCGGCAAAAAUAUUUCACAAAUGCUUAUAGAUCAAUAAAAUCAUUAAAAAUUAUAUGCACGGCGUGCAUCAUUAUUAGGCACUUGAUAUUCUGAUGAUAUUUUCCAAGCACAUUUUUCCAAUUCCACAUCCCAUCAGUCUUAAUAACUACUAUACAUUUGGUAUAUGAUCAUUUAUGAGUUAUGUAUAAUUGUCCAUUACGGCUGGAAGUGAAAAACUGCUUAUAUUCAGGAGUGCUGAAUUAUUAGGCAUGUUUUCUUUUACUGAUAAAAUUAGCCAAAAAAAAAAAAAAUAACAUACUGUUCUGCAGAUGUUAUAACAUAUCACAUGAAAGUAAUUAUUUUUUGUAGAGAGGUUUUUGAAUUUUCCUUAUGGUAAGAUGGAUAUAUAUUGUAGAUUUUUUUUUCAGUGAAAGUAAUGUGUAAACAGCAUCAUGUAGUAUUUUUUUAUGAUGGUUAGUUGCAUAUUUGUGUAUUUUAGUUUCCAUAAAGUUACUCUUAAAACAUUAUUAUAUAUAUGUGUAUGCUCUUUUGGAAAAAUGGCUCUUAACCAAAAAUAAAAAUUUUGCUCUUUGGUCCAAAAAGGUUCCCGACCCCUGUUCCAGAAUCUGGCAGUAAGUUUGGGGAGCUCAUUUUUAUUCCAUCUUCUAUUCUGAAAAGUCUUAAUUCUUUUGCAGUUAACUUGUGUCUUUUCUCCACCUGUCAAUUUCUGUAUUGCAAUAGUUUUGAAUAAUUCUCAUGGGGAUUUAAUAAUUUUUGACUUUUCAGUCUGAGUUACAACUCUUUUUGGCUCAUUUCAUCAAAAAAAAGAAUUGCCUAAUAAUUCUGAACCUAAAAAACUCUUUUUUGGCUCAGCCUUCAUGGACAAUUAUAUAUCACUCAUAAAUGAUUAAAUACAAAAUUAAUGGUAGUUAUUAAGAUUGAUGUCAUUGGGAAUUGGUAAAAUGUGCUUGGAAAAAAAAAUCAGAAUAUCAACAUGCCUAAUAAUUGUGCACACAGUGUAAAUCAAUAAAGGUUUUAGUAACACUUUAUAAUAAGGUGUAAUUUGUAAACAUUAGUAAAUGAACAUGAACAAUAUAUUUUCACAGAAUUUAUUAAUGUUUGUUGAUUUUAGUUCACAGUGCAUUAACUAAUGUUAACAGAUAAUUUUUAGGGCUCAAGCCUGGAGGGCGAGAGCCCUAUUGUUUUCCUUAGGAUUAUUUUUUAUUAUUAUUAUUAUUAUUAUUAUUAUUUUUUUCCAACGUCUCGGGGGCUUUUGGGGCCCUUAACAUACUCGAAAACUCUUGAAAAUUGGCACACACAUUGGAACCUGCGGCCAUUAGGGCCGGGCAGAGACUGAUACACGGGCGUGGCACAGGGGCUCUACAGCGCCCCCUGGAAUAUGGAGGGCCAUAUAUCAUACAUACUUGCACGUAGACGUAUGAAACUCGGUACACAUAUAGAUCUCAUUAAGCCAAACAACUUUCGUACUGCAUGUCAUAGGCUCCACCCAACAGGAAGUUGGCUAUUUAGGGUUUAGUAUUCUUAUUUUUCGUCAAAGUUGUGGGGGCUUUUGGGGCCCUUAACAUGCUCAAAAACUCUUGAAAAUUUGCACACACCUUAGAAUCUGUGGCCAUUAGGAGGCUGCAGAGGCUGAGACCCGGGCGUGGCACAGGGGCUCUACGGCGCCCCCUGGAACACAGUCAGAAAUGUUGAUGCAUAGUUCAAACAUACUUGCACGUAUUCAUAUGAAACUCAGUACACAUAUAGAUCUCAUUGUGCCGAACAACUUUCAUAUUGCAUGUCAUAGGCUCCGCCCAACAGGAAGUCAGCUAUUUAGAGCUAUGUAAUAAAGCGCAUGCUCUGGAAUUUGAUAUACUUGUCAUAGGUUUUUUUACCCGAUUGCCACCAAACUUGGUCAACAUGAUCUCAAGACAUUUGGGGAUGCAAUAAUUGCCAUGUGAUUUUUUUGAUAUCUCGAAUGGUUUGCUUGUGGCGAGGCGUUGAAAUUAUGGCGAGAAAUGAGAAACAGGAAGUGUCUAAUAACAUCCACAUACAUUUCCUGAUUUUAAUUAAACUUCAUCAAUUUGUUCGUUGUAUGAUGCCGAUCGCAUAUAUGUGACUAUUAGGAGUCAAAAUUAUAGCGCCACCAACUGGCAGCAGGAAGUGUGUCAUUUUCAAAAUGCUUUGAAUUCAGCAUCUUAUUUUUUUACUCAAUUUGCUUCAAACUUCAUCAGAAUAAUGACAAAAACACGGCCCAUGUAAAACUGUUGAGGGGAUAUUGAUAUCUAAUAUAGUGUUGCCAUGGCAACAUAUCAAACUGGAAUAUUUUUCUGUAUAAUAUAUUCUGAUUUUGAGGCAGAUAACAUGCUUAGAAUUUCAUGAAACUCAGAACACAUAUCAGUAUUAAUGAUAGCUAGACACUGGCA
ensembl:lncRNA